rnacentral:sRNA from 1 species
GAUCCGUUAUCAGUGCAGGAAAAUGCCUGUUAGCGUAAAAGCAAAACACAAAUCUAUCCAUGCAAGCAUUCACCGCCGGUUUACUGGCGGUUUUUUUU